UUGGAUAGUGAAUAGCAGCUCCAGCUCUAAUCCUUUGGCUGGCUGACAGGAGGAAAUGUACUCUAGUAUGUGUCAUUGCUCCCUCAGAAUUACUAGGAUUGAGGAAGAACAAACAGCUACCAAGUCAGGAGGCAAGAUUAUAUACUGAUAAAACAGAGUUUGUUUUGAAUGUAAAUUAGCAUCAAGAUGAAGCUAUUUGUGCAACAACAAUCAGGAAUAUGGUUGUAGAACACACGACCCAUGAUGUCCUCAACAAAACCCAUAUCCUAUCAAGACUGUACAAGCUGCAGGGAGAGCAGACAAAUUCACUGGAUGCAUUUGAAACACCUGGAAGUGAACAGGUGACAUCUGUCUCUAGCAGGUGUGCUGCUGUACUCAAUGGUCCACACUGGAUAUGCAUGCUGAGAAAUCCAAGCUGCACAAUGAGAAAUUUGCACUGAAUUUCCUGUGAAGGCACCGCUUAUCUCUCCCACAAGGGGGCAGAACCAGAGAUUAUCACUUGCCAGCCCUGAUCCUCAGGCACAAAAGCACUUCCUAGUGUGCUGGAUAUGAACCUGCAUUCUGCUUUUAUGAACCGUGCCUUUGAAUAGUUCAGAAAGAUCCCAUCAA